rnacentral:rRNA from 1 species
CCUACGGGGGGCUGCAGUGGGGAAUAUUGCACAAUGGGCGAAAGCCUGAUGCAGCGACGCCGCGUGGGGGAUGACGGCCUUCGGGUUGUAAACCCCUUUCAGUAGGGAAGAAGCGAAAGUGACGGUACCUGCAGAAGAAGCGCCGGCUAACUACGUGCCAGCAGCCGCGGUAAUACGUAGGGCGCAAGCGUUGUCCGGAAUUAUUGGGCGUAAAGAGCUUGUAGGUGGCUUGUCGCGUCUGCCGUGAAAACCCGAGGCUCAACUUCGGGCGUGCG